CACAGCCACACAAACACUGCCGCCCCCCUCCGGAGCACAGGAAGGAAUGAAGAAGUUCCACCUGAGCCUCCCAACCACACUGGCUUCCUUGUGGUCCCAGCUGUCUAGAUGUGUUCUGAAUUUUAAAGGUGCGAUAACAAGAAUAUAUUUCCUCUGAAUCCAGAAGUCAGCCUGGGUCCUUGAGGUGACCUUGUGGUCUACUUUCUAGAGUCUAACUGCAGCAGGAUGGCUCUACUCAGCAUGCGGUUACAUCAUGGAGUUCUUAGUACCGCAUCGGUCCUCCUCCACGGCAUCUGCCUCUGUGCUGCUUCCAGCCCGGUCUUCCCGUCCGUCUGCAGUGGCUUGCUUCUCAUCCAUGCCUUUCCAGACCUCUCCCAACUCACCCUUUGUUUUGUUCUUUUAUCUACCCUUGUCAUCCAGAGCACUUAGCUGCCGGUUCUGCUUUUAUAAAUAUUUUUAAAAAAAUAAACCCCUUCAUU
rnacentral:lncRNA from 1 species